CAAAAGCGUAUAUUAAAGUUGUUGCAGUUAAAAAGCUCGUAGUUGAACCUUGGGCUUGGCUGGCCGGUCCAUCUUUUUUGAUGCGUACUGGACCCAGCCGAGCCUUUCCUUCUGGCUAGCCUUUUGGCGAACCAGGACUUUUACUUUGGAAAAAUUAGAGUGUUCAAAGCAGGCCUUUGCUCGAAUAUAUUAGCAUGGAAUAAUAGAAUAGGACGUUAUGGUUCUAUUUUGUUGGUUUCUAGGACCAUCGUAAUGAUUAAUAGGGACGGUCGGGGGUAUCAGUAUUCAGUUGUCAGAGGUGAAAUUCUUGGAUUUACUGAAGACUAACUACUGCGAAAGCAUUUACCAAGGACGUUUUCAUUAA
rnacentral:rRNA from 1 species